rnacentral:rRNA from 1 species
AGAGGGUGAGAAUCCCGUCUGGGAUGGGCGGCCGCGCCCGUGUGAAGCUCCUUCGACGAGUCGAGUUGUUUGGGAAUGCAGCUCUAAGCGGGUGGUAAAUUUCAUCUAAAGCUAAAUACUGGCCGGAGACCGAUAGCGCACAAGUAGAGUGAUCGAAAGAUGAAAAGCACUUUGAAAAGAGAGUUAAACAGCACGUGAAAUUGUUGAAAGGGAAGCGUUGUCCACCAGACUCGCCCGGGGGGGUUCAGCCGGCACGUGUGCCGGUGUACUCCUCUCCGGGCGGGCCAGCAUCGGUUUGGGCGGCUGGUGAAAGGCCCCGGGAAUGUGCCACCCUUCGGGGUGCCUUAUAGCCCGGGGUGCCAUACAGCCAGCCUGGACCGAGGCCCGCGCUUCGGCGAGGAUGCUGGCGUAAUGGUGGUCAACGGCCCGUCUUGAAACACGGACCAAGGAGUCUAACAUCUAUGCGAGUGUUCGGGUGUCAAACCCGUCCGCGCAGUGAAAGCGAACGGAGGUGGGAGCCCCUCGGGGCGCACCAUCGACCGAUCCUGAUGUCUUCGGAUGGAUUUGAGUAAGAGCAUAGCUGUUGGGACCCGAAAGAUGGUGAACUAUGCCUGAAUAGGGCGAAGCCAGAGGAAACUCUGGUGGAGGCUCGCAGCGGUUCUGACGUGCAAAUCGAUCGUCAAAUUUGGGUAUAGGGGCGAAAGACUAAUCGAACCAUCUGGUAGCUGGUUCCUGCCGAAGUUUCCCUCAGGAUAGCAGUAACGACAUCAGUUUUAUGAGGUAAAGCGAAUGAUUAGAGGCCUUGGGGUUGAAACAACCUUAACCUAUUCUCAAACUUUAAAUAUGUAAGAAGCCCUUGUUGCUUAGUUGAACGUGGGCGUUAGAAUGAAACGUUACUAGUGGGCCAUUUUUGGUAAGCAGAACUGGCGAUGCGGGAUGAACCGAACGCGAGGUUAAGGUGCCGGAAUGCACGCUCAUCAGACACCACAAAAGGUGUUAGUUCAUCUAGACAGCCCGACGGUGGCCAUGGAAGUCGGAAUCCGCUAAAGGAGUGUGUAACAACUCACGGGCCGAAUGAACUAGCCCUGAAAAUGGAUGGCGCUCAAGCGUGCUACCCAUACCUCGCCGUCGGGGUAGAAACGAUGCCCCGACGAGUAGGCAGGCGUGGGGGUCCGUGACGAAGC